rnacentral:rRNA from 1 species
ACUCAAAUGAAUAGACGGGGGCCCGCACAAGCAGUGGAGUAUGUGGUUUAAUUCGAAGCAACGCGAAGAACCUUACCAGGGCUUGACAUCCCUUGAAAGCUGUAGAGAUACAGUUUCUCUUCGGAGCAAGGAGACAGGUGGUGCAUGGUUGUCGUCAGCUCGUGUCGUGAGAUGUUGGGUUAAGUCCCGCAACGAGCGCAACCCCUGUUGUUAGUUGCCAUCAUUAAGUUGGGCACUCUAGCGAGACUGCCGGUGACAAAUCGGAGGAAGGUGGGGACGACGUCAAAUCAUCAUGCCCCUUAUGUCCUGGGCUACACACGUACUACAAUGGCUGUUACAGAGGGAAGCUAACCCGCGAGGGGGAGCAAACCCCUAAAAGCAGCCCCAGUUCAGAUUGCAGGCUGAAACUCGCCUGCAUGAAGUCGGAAUUGCUAGUAAUGGCAGGUCAGCAUACUGCCGUGAAUACGUUCCCGGGCCUUGUACACACCGCCCGU